GAUGCAACGCGAAGAACCUUACCUACUCUUGACAUCUACAGAAGCCAGCGGAGACGCAGGUGUGCCUUCGGGAACUGUAAGACAGGUGCUGCAUGGCUGUCGUCAGCUCGUGUUGUGAAAUGUUGGGUUAAGUCCCGCAACGAGCGCAACCCUUAUCCUUGUUUGCCAGCACUUCGGGUGGGAACUCCAGGGAGACUGCCGGUGAUAAACCGGAGGAAGGUGGGGACGACGUCAAGUCAUCAUGGCCCUUACGAGUAGGGCUACACACGUGCUACAAUGGCGCAUACAGAGGGCGGCCAACUUGCGAAAGUGAGCGAAUCCCAAAAAGUGCGUCGUAGUCCGGAUUGGAGUCUGCAACUCGACUCCAUGAAGUCGGAAUCGCUAGUAAUCGUGGAUCAGAAUGCCACGGUGAAUACGUUCCCGGGCCUUGUACACACCGCCCGUCACACCAUGGGAGUGGGCUGCAAAAGAAGUGGGUAGUUUAACCUUCGGGAGGACGCUCACCACUUUGUGGUUCAUGACUGGGGUGAAGUCGUAACAAGGUAACCG
rnacentral:rRNA from 1 species